GACGAACGCUGGCGGCGUGCUUAACACAUGCAAGUCGAACGGAAAGGCCCUGCUUUUGUGGGGUGCUCGAGUGGCGAACGGGUGAGUAACACGUGAGUAACCUGCCCUUGACUUUGGGAUAACUUCAGGAAACUGGGGCUAAUACCGGAUAUGAGCUCCUGCUGCAUGGUGGGGGUUGGAAAGUUUCGGCGGUUGGGGAUGGACUCGCGGCUUAUCAGCUUGUUGGUGGGGUAGUGGCUUACCAAGGCUUUGACGGGUAGCCGGCCUGAGAGGGUGACCGGCCACAUUGGGACUGAGAUACGGCCCAGACUCCUACGGGAGGCAGCAGUGGGGAAUAUUGCACAAUGGGCGGAAGCCUGAUGCAGCAACGCCGCGUGCGGGAUGACGGCCUUCGGGUGGUAAACCGCUUUCGCCUGUGACGAAGCGUGAGUGACGGUAAUGGGUAAAGAAGCACCGGCUAACUACGUG
rnacentral:rRNA from 1 species